rnacentral:rRNA from 1 species
AUUGAACGCUGGCGGCAGGCCUAACACAUGCAAGUCGAGCGGGGUUUUCGGACCUAGCGGCGGACGGGUGAGUAAUGCGUAGGAAGCUGCCCGAUAGAGGGGGAUACCAGUUGGAAACGACUGUUAAUACCGCAUAAUGUCUACGGACCAAAGUGUGGGACCUUCGGGCCACAUGCUAUCGGAUGCGCCUACGUGGGAUUAGCUAGUUGGUGAGGUAAUGGCUCACCAAGGCGGCGAUCUCUAGCUGGUUUGAGAGGAUGAUCAGCCACACUGGAACGGAGACACGGUCCAGACUCCUACGGGAGGCAGCAGUGGGGAAUAUUGGACAAUGGGCGCAAGCCUGAUCCAGCCAUGCCGCGUGUGUGAAGAAAGCCUUCGGGUUGUAAAGCACUUUCAGCGAGGAGGAAGGGGUGUGUGUUAAUAGUACACACCUUUGACGUUACUCGCAGAAGAAGCACCGGCUAACUCUGUGCCAGCCGCCGCCGUAAAAC